UACGUAGGGUGCGAGCGUUAAUCGGAAUUACUGGGCGUAAAGCGUGCGCAGGCGGUCUGUUAAGACCGAUGUGAAAUCCCCGGGCUUAACCUGGGAACUGCAUUGGUGACUGGCAGGCUUUGAGUGUGGCAGAGGGAGGUAGAAUUCCACGUGUAGCAGUGAAAUGCGUAGAGAAUGUGGAGGAAUACCGAUGGCGAAGGCAGCCUCCUGGGCCAACACUGACGCUCAUGCACGAAAGCGUGGGGAGCAAACAG
rnacentral:rRNA from 1 species